rnacentral:rRNA from 1 species
UGGGGAAUAUUGCACAAUGGGCGCAAGCCUGAUGCAGCCAUGCCGCGUGUAUGAAGAAGGCCUUCGGGUUGUAAAGUACUUUCAGCGGGGAGGAAGGCGAUAAGGUUAAUAACCUUGUCGAUUGACGUUACCCGCAGAAGAAGCACCGGCUAACUCCGUGCCAGAAGCCGCGGUAAUACGGAGGGUGCAAGCGUUAAUAGGAAUUACUGGGCGUAAAGCGCACGCAGGCGGUCUGUCAAGUCGGAUGUGAAAUCCCCGGGCUCAACCUGGGAACUGCAUUCGAAACUGGCAGGCUAGAGUCUUGUAGAGGGGGGUAGAAUUCCAGGUGUAGCGGUGAAAUGCGUAGAGAUCUGGAGGAAUACCGGUGGCGAAGGCGGCCCCCUGGACAAAGACUGACGCUCAGGUGCGAAAGCGUGGGGAGGAAACA